rnacentral:ncRNA from 1 species
GUCGGGUUGUUUGGGAAUGCUCCCAAGCGGGUGGUAAACUCCAUCUAAGGCUAAAUACGGUCACGAGACCGAUAGCGAACAAGUACCGUGAGGGAAAGUUGAAAAGCACUUUGGAGAGAGAGUUAAAAAGUACGUGAAACCGUCGAGAGGCAAACGGGAGGGCCUGUCGGGUCGUUCGGUCGCUUUCAGGCGGGCCGGAGACCGGGUCGCGGGAUCGGGGACCUUCGCGGGCCUCGACUCGCGUCGCCGGCCGACGGCUCGGCGCACUAGCGUCGGACGAGGGCCGCGACCGGCUGGGCGGCGGGCAAACGGCUCCGGGCAAGGUAACCCCGCUUCGGCGGGGUGCUACAGGCCCGGUGCGCGCAAGGGUCGCCGCCCGGUCGAGGAGAGAUGCGCGCCGCACCUGCCCCGUUCGCGGGGCCGGGGAAGCCGUUCGAGCAGCGUCGUGUCGCGGUCCGGGACUGUCCUCAGUCCCGGGUCGUCUCGGCGCGGUUCCGAGCGGUCGCUCCCUCGCGAGGUGCCGCGGGUCAGCGGCUGACGCCAGCCACCUUCCCGACCCGUCUUGAAACACGGACCAAGGAGUCUAACAUGUGCGCGAGCCGCGGGGCAGUACGAAACCCGUAAGGCGAAAUGAAGGUGAACGCCGGCGCGGUCCGGCGGAGGUUGGAUCCCGUCCCGGUCGGGGCGGGCGGACUACCGGCGGGGGCCGGACCCGAACUACCGGCCGAUCUUCUCCGCCCUGUCGGCGAGGUCGAGCGAGAGCGUGCAAGUCGGGACCCGAAAGAUGGUGAACUAUGCCUGAGGAGGUUGAAGCCAGAGGAAACUCUGGUGGAGGACCGUAGCGAUUCUGACGUGCAAAUCGAUCGUCAAAUUUGGGUAUAGGGGCGAAAGACUAAUCGAACCGUCUAGUAGCUGGUUCCCUUCGAAGUUUCCCUCAGGAUAGCUGGCGCUCUGUCGCAGUUUUAUCUGGUAAAGCGAAUGAUUAGAGGUUUUGGGGGCGAAACGCC